GGUGCGGCUGGCCGGGGAAGGGGCGACGUUGAUCGUCACCGUCGAUUGCGGCGCUCAGGCGUUCGAGGCGCUCGCCAUGGCG
rnacentral:tRNA from 2 species